CCCAGUGUAAAAUAGAUGUAUGAGGGUGAAAUAUUAAAAUUCCCAGAAAAAAAAAAGAAUAAGGACACACAAGAGUCAAUGUCGUGAUGAAACCGAAGUAGCGACGGACUUUUCUUCGGUAUUGUGACACACAUCUGAUCCGAGUGUAACAAAUUAUUAAAAAAUAAUAAUAAUUGUCGGGCGGGACUUGAUUCAACGCAGCAGCUGUUGAUUGGAUGUUAAGAAGUGGGUGUGGCUCUCAAAAGUACUUACAGGGGCGGAGCUUAAGAGUAUUGAAUGAUUAGAAUUUUAAAAAAAUUAAACAUGCACAGUUGAAUUGUUCACAAGAACAUGCAUUUGCAAAUAAAUAGGGUGAAUUUUUAUUUAAUGUGCACUUCAAAAAUCAGAGUGAAUGACAAUAGGCAGGAGUGUUUGUUUGCAGUGAUUGUGAAAGCGCCAGUGUUGCAGUGGGCAGUUCUGGCCCGAGUGUUUCCUCUCUGGCACGUCAACAGUGAGUCUGCGGCCGCUCACAUAAACACUUCUUCAGCACAAUAACGAGCUCCAGCUGGAGCAGAAGAUCCUCGUGCUGCAGGGAGUGAAGCAUUCAGAGACUCAGAGGAGGGGAUGUGGAACAGAGAGCCAUUGAUAGACGGAGGAAUUCUGGGAGUUCGCCUAGUUUUACAAGACACCGUUUUCAACAAAAACUGAAAACUUUGUGUGUGUUUUGGCCGUGCAUUUGCAUGAUAACAGCGGUUUGGGUGCCUGAAAAUACCAUCUUUUGAAAACAGGUUUCAAAGUGCAAGUUAUUAAAAAUUAUAUUUCCAAGUUUUUAAACUUUUUCCAGGUUUAGUACGUUGUUGUCGUGUAAACAUAUGCUGAUUCUCUUCAGAUAAUCAGUGUUAUUCAGUAUUGAUAUACUAUUAUAGAUUUUGUUAAUAUUUUCUGCUUUCAUUUUAAUUUAAGAUGAAUUUGUUGUGUGUUUUUAAUAUAUAUAUAUAUAUAUGUCUAAAUAGUUUUUAAGUUUCAGUUUCUGUUUAUUAUUUUAGUACUUCAUCUUAAACUAAAUGAAAAUGAGAAACGUUUUCUUGGAAACUGGCAGAAAUAAAAAAUGUUUAAUGUUUUUAUAUUUAUUUAUUUUAGUAUAUUUUAUUUUACUUCUAUAGUAACAAAUAAAUGGUUUAGUUUUAGUUAAUAAUAAUAAUAAUAAUAAU
ensembl:lncRNA